GGCAUUUAUUAUAGAUUUAGAGCUAAGGAAAAAGCUUUAAAUAUACAUUAUGUCCAUAGAUACUUUUCUUUUGGAAUGCCUUAAACAUUGCUUUUCCAACACUGUCCUCUGGGCAUUUCAACGUAUAGAACUGCUCUGCCAUAGACGACACAACCAGAAUAUAUUAAAAAGUCUUCCAGCUAUACAGCACAGCAGGUGAAAGAGAUGCUCCCUUUUGGACUCCAAUAAACCGAAUGGCCCUGGGGGCCGCGUUUCAUCAAACUCAAAAAAGUCAAAGAAUCGCCAGGAGGAUGGGCUACAGCUGCCGUUUGAUUUGGAUGGCUUUGGCACGUGCAGCGGGCACAGCUGUGGAGGGGGGCUGCGGACGGGUUCCAGGCAAUCGCAUAUACGCGAUUUAUAUGGAAGCCCAGUGCUCUGUUAUUGCAAUAUUGGUAAAAGCCGGCGAUGAUGACACGACUUCAGCGCGAGCAACGCGAGCAGCUUCAACUCAAUUAUCAAACUUUGGAUGCCAAUGCCAGUUAGCUCUACCAUCGACCGGCUGGCCGGCUGGCCGCCUGGCUGACUGGCUGACUGACGCCUCGUUUCAGUUCAGCAAUUCACUCAUCCAGGCAGCCUCCGGUACUCACACGUGCAGGCAUAUUUUUCGAAUAAACAAGCACCGUGCCAGGAGUCCGUGAAUGCGUCCAUGUCGCGGUGUCAGGGAGUGCGAAGUAGAGCUGGUAGAGUCGGGCGUUCGCACAAACGGCAAACGGAAAUGGAUUUUUGAUUGAGUGCACAAUAAAAUGUGAAAUGCAUUUUACAGCUGAAAAACAAGCAACACACACACUCACACACAUAGCAUGGAAUGAAAUUGAAGUUUAGCCAUAUACGAGUACAGCCAAUACUUAUUCAUAUAUCAACAAAUAUAUAUAUAUAUAUACAUUUUA